CGGAGGGUGCAAGCGUUAUCCGGAUUCACUGGGUUUAAAGGGUGCGUAGGUGGGUUGGUAAGUCAGUGGUGAAAUCUCCAGGCUCAACUUGGAAACUGCCAUUGAUACUAUUAAUCUUGAAUACCGUGGAGGUCAGCGGAGUAUGUCAUGUAGCGGUGAAAUGCUUAGAUAUGACAUAGAACACCAAUUGCGAAGGCAGCUGGCUACACGAAUAUUGACACUGAUGCACGAAAGCGUGGGGAUCAAACAGGAUUAGAUACCCUGGUAGUCCACGCCCUAAACGAUGGAUACUCGACAUACGCGAUAUACAGUGUGUGUCUGAGCGAAAGCAUUAAGUAUCCCACCUGGGAAGUACGAUCGCAAGAUUG
rnacentral:rRNA from 1 species